rnacentral:rRNA from 1 species
UACGUAGGUCCCGAGCGUUGUCCGGAUUUAUUGGGCGUAAAGCGAGCGCAGGUGGUUUAUUAAGUCUGGUGUGAAAGGCAGUGGCUCAACCAUUGUAUGCAUUGGAAACUGGUAGACUUGAGUGCAGGAGAGGAGAGUGGAAUUCCAUGUGUUGCGGUGAAAUGCGUAGAUAUAUGGAGGAACACCGGUGGCGAAAGCGGCUCUCUGGCCUGUAACUGACACUGAGGCUCGAAAGCGUGGGGAGCAAACAGG